rnacentral:rRNA from 1 species
CUACGGGAUGCUGCAGUGGGGAAUAUUGCACAAUGGGGGAAACCCUGAUGCAGCAACGCCGCGUGAGUGAAGAAGGCUUUCGAGUCGUAAAGCUCUGUCCUAUGGGAAGAAUAGAUGACGGUACCAUAGGAGGAAGCCCCGGCUAACUACGUGCCAGCAGCCGCGGUAAUACGUAGGGGGCAAGCGUUAUCCGGAAUCAUUGGGCGUAAAGGGUGCGUAGGCGGCCAGACAAGUCAGAGGUGAAAGGCUACGGCUUAACCGUAGUAAGCCUUUGAAACUGUUUGGCUUGAGUGCAGGAGAGGAAAGUGGAAUUCCUAGUGUAGCGGUGAAAUGCGUAGAUAUUAGGAGGAACACCAGUGGCGAAGGCGACUUUCUGGACUGUAACUGACGCUGAGGCACGAAAGCGUGGGGAGCGAACAGGAUUAGAUACCCUUGUAGUC